rnacentral:rRNA from 1 species
UACGUAGGGUGCGAGCGUUGUCCGGAAUUAUUGGGCGUAAAGGGUGCGUAGGCGGCAUGAUAAGUUAUUGGCGGCAAAUCGAGGCUCAACCUCGUGGAAACUAAUAAUACUGUCUUGCUUGAGUGCAGAAGAGGUUAACGGAACUCCAUGUGGAGCGGUAAAAUGUGUAGAUAUAUGGAAGAACAUCAAUAACGGCGAAGGCAGUUAACUAUUCUGUUACUGACGUUGAGGCACGAAAGCGUGGGGAGCAAAAAGG